UUCACCCGAGCCCUACCCCAGGAGCAAGAGACCACCGGCAGCAAUUUCACCAAGCUCCGACGGCAUGGAGCCAACUGGCGAUAAGAAUAAGCAGAAUCCCUUCUUCUCAUUCUCCUUUCACCGAACUCCAACGACAUGUAAUCAACCGGCGAGACCACCGGCAAUGAUUUCAUUGUUUCACCAAGCUCCAAUAGUGAUUGCCUUCCAAUUCUGAUGGCGUGUUACCUAGCGGGAGGUUGGUGCCGCCAAGCUCAAAGAAACAAUUGUGCCUCCGAUUUUUCACAUGUUGUGUCGGUUAUGACGAACCCAAACGGCAAACGAUAUUAAAUGGAAAACAGAAAGAACCUUAUUUCCAUUGAAGGGGUAUAAGUAUUUGUUAUUUAUAUGUUCUAGGCAAAGAAGUUGAUGCCCUUGAAGUCACGAGAACAUAUGGAGAUUUCAUCGGAGCCUUUUAAUUUUGAGCUUCUUACAGUUUCUCCGAUGAAGUUAUUAUCGAGCAAAAUCCAAUUUGCUCCUAUUGGAUUAGUUGACAUGCUUAAUACCAGCAAUGCUAUUCAAUCAUUGGAGUAGGAUGACGAGACAAGUUCGGUUCGAAUUGGAGUGAAGGGAACUGGAGAGAUGAGGUUGUUUGCAUAAAAAAAAAACAAAAGUUUGUUUAAUUGAUGGUGAAGAGGUUCCAUUAAAGUUCGAGUAACACAUGGUUGUGGUUCAAGUUCCAUGGCCCACACAAAUGGAUGUUUUUUUGAAAGCCACAAAAAAUGGAUUGAUGUUUGAUUUUUAUUGAACUAAAUUUAUGUAAUGUGAAUAGUAGUAAAGUGUGCUCUGUUAUUUA